UCUCUCACCUGCCCUGCCCUGCCCAGGUGUAUCUCAGGUGUGUCCCAGCUCUCUCACCUGCCCUGCCCUGCCCAGGUGUAUCCCAGGUGUAUCCCAGGUGUGUCCCAGGUGUGUCCCAGGUGUGUCAGGGUCUCUCAGGUGUAUCUCAGGUGUAUCUCAGGGUCUCUCAGGUGUAUCCCAGGUGUGUCCCAG